rnacentral:rRNA from 1 species
AAGCCACUCAGUGGAUGGCUGGGCUUGGGUAUCGACGAAGGGCGCGGCAAGCUGCGAAAAGCCGUGGGUAGCCGCAAGCAGGCUUUGAACCACGGGUCCCCGAAUUGUUUCGAGAGAAACGAAGACCGGCUGAAUUGAAAUAUCUUAGUAAGCCGAGGAAAAUAAAUCAACAGAGAUUCCGUUAGUAACACGAGUGAAAGCGGAGCAGGGCAAACCGAAUUGCCCCCGCAAGGGGGUUUAAGAUGUGGUGUUGUUGGCCCCCUCUUUUAGCAUCCGAGCAAUUGAGUUGAAGUGAGUUGGAAAACUCUGCCAUAGACGGUUAUAGCCCGGUAGACGAAGAUUUGCUUGGGCGUGAGGAGGGCCAGAGUAGCGCGUUUCGGUUUAAGCGCGUGAAACCGGGAGUAUUAACUUCCAACCCUAAAUAUAACCCAAGACCGAUAGCGCAUAGUACCGCGAGGGAAAGCUGAAAAGCAAGCCGAAAGGCUAGUUAAAAGUGCCUGAAAUUGAGUGGUCACACCAAGAUGCUGCACGAAAGGAUGUCCGCAAGGACAACCAGUGUUGCAUCAUACUUCUUGAAGCAAGAGCCAGGGAGUUUAAGCGAGUGGCGAGCAUUGUGCAUAGCGAAAGCGAAACCGCGCAACUCCGCAAGGAGCCAGGCGGGCGGUCUUAACCGGCCGCAAGUCACUAGUUUAAGACCCGAAGCCAAAGUGAUCUAUACGCGAGUAAGGUGAAGCCGUUCUUCAGAAUGGUGGAAGCCUGCAACCGGUGCUGGUCUAUAGUUUGUUUUUGCUAUUUAGUAAAAGCUUACAGACAGCCGCUCGGGUGACUUGCGCAUAGGGAUGAUAGUUCAUUCGAACUUGGCGAUAGCGGGUUCCCUCCGAAGUGAACCGCAGUUCAGCCUCUCCAGAGGCUGGUGCUAGGUAGAGCAACCGAUUUGAGGGAACGGGGGCGGAAGCCCUCACCCUCUUGUCAAACUCCGAAGCUAGCAUCGCCGUAGAAGGAGGGAGUUGGGGACAUGAGUUAAGCGCGUGUCCCGAGAGGGGAACGACCCCUACUGCAGUUAAGGUCCCAAAGAAUUGGCUAAGUGUAAAACUAAGACGUCGUAAUUCGCAGACAGUCGGGAGGUAGGCUUAGAAGCAGCCAUCCUUCAAACAACGCGUAACAGCGGACCGAUCAAGGUUUGUGGCGUCGUAAACUAUCGGGACUAAAGCCAAUCACCGAUACUGUGGAAACGCUUUCGAAGGAAAGCGGAUUUAGUAGGAGGGCGUACUGUUCGGGCAGAAGGCGGGCCGUGAGGUCCGUUGGACCGGAUAGUAAUGAAUAUCCUGGUGCUAGUAGCAGCUAUUCCAGGCGAGAAUCCUGGACGUCGGAAGGGCAAGGGUUUCUGGGCAACGCUAGUCGACCCAGAGUAAGUCGGUCCUAACGCUAAACGUAAUCGUGAAUGCGGAAAGGGAAAGGAGUUAACAAUCUCCUACCUUCUGGAUGCGCGCGGCAACGCAAGUGCAAUUCAAACGUUUGCAGAUAGGCUCAGCAGCUGUAAGCUGUUUAACUGAAACACCGCUGUGGAGUCUCGUUAUGAGGAGAAACAGCGUAAGUCGGGAAUAGCCCCGCAAGGGGUUGAGCUGAAUCUGUGAACCCAUGAAAAUGGAUUGCAAAGUAUUUCAGAAGUCCGUACCGAGAACCAGUACAGGUGCCCCUAGCAAAGAAAGCUAAGACGUGGCAGGAGAACUAAAGCAAGGGAAUUCGGCAAAAUAGCCCCGUAACUUCGGGAUAAGGGGUGCCUACAUUCUUUCCAAGAAGUAAUUCAAAAGAGGGUUUGUAGGUGGCACUAACAAGGGGACGUCGACUGUUUACCAAAAACACAGGUCUCCGAAAGAUGGAAACGUUGAAUACGGAGGCCGACGCCUGCUCACUGGCAGUAUCUGAACUCGGGUUUCAACCUGGGGAAGGACUGUUAAAGAGCGGGAGUAACUCUGACUCUCUUAAGGUAGCGUAAUACCUCGCCGCUUAAUUGGCGGCUUGCAUGAAUGGCGUAACGAGCGUCCCACUGUCCCUGCUUUAGACCUGGUGAACCUACUACUCGGUGAACAUGCCGAGGACUUCUAGGGGGAAACGAAGACCCCGUGGAGCUUAACCGCAGUCUGUUGUUGAAACGCGGUUGGCGAUUCAAAGCGUAAGCAGUAGCCGUUAUGCCGCACCUUCCGGGGUGCGGAUAGGCGAAAUUGUGACACUGCUAUUCGUUGACUACGUUUCUUACUCGCCAGAGGACAACAGCAGAUGGGCGGUUUGACUGGGGCGGUACGCCUUCGACAAAACAACAAAGGCGCCCAAAGGUCGACUCAAUCCGGUCAGAAAUCGGAUGUAGAGGGUCAAAGACAAAUGU